AUGUACCCCAGUACGUCUGUCUUUUGCUGGUUUGUGUGCUCUGCUCUAGCCUGUUUUCUCAAGCCUUCCAGAAGCCAGUGUCACCACGGUGUUUGCCUGUCCCUUCUGCAACAGCACGCCAAACUGGCUGAUUUCAGGGCACACAUGGGAAAGCCUGGGCGAUGGCUCAGCACCAGGACAAGGAACAACGCGCAGCCCGAAGGCUUCGCAAGGGGUUGUGCUCCCGAAGCAAGAAGGAAAAAGAGGGCUCGUAGCCCCAGGCAGAGCAAAGCAGCAGGGGAACCUUCAGCAGCAGCUGUUUUCCAGGCAGAACCGUCCCCCUGCCACCGAGGGCCCUCUGAAGAGCCUCGCUCGCCCGUUUCUGUGGGUGAUACACCCACGUGCUGGGGAGAUUUAGUGCCCGUGAGGAGCGGGAAGAAGAAAGCUGGGAAAGCCCUUGGCUGCCAGGAGAGUGGCAUUGCACAGCAACGGGGAGCGUCUGCCCUAAGGAGCUGGAGCAUCCGGCCUUCCUUGGCAUGCAGGCACAGGGGGGAAGCUUCAUUUGAAAGAAAACAUCCGAGCUCAGCGCCAGGCCAGCUUUGCAGCAUGCAGCAGGCGAGCAGGAGGGAUGCGAGCGGCGGGGAUCAGAGGAAAAGCUCACCCCAGGCGGAGGGGGCCGAGGAGCAAUCCACUGCAUGCCAAUUGCCAGAGUCAUCCCCGCGGUCCUGGAAACCAGCGCUGGGUCCUGGAAACGCUGCUGGAAGAGAGGCUGCACCAUAAAUUUUAAACGUAAGGCAGCCCCGGAGAGGCAAUAAAUACGUUUGCGAGCACA
rnacentral:lncRNA from 1 species